CAGAGUUUGAUCAUGGCUCAGGACGAACGCUGGCGGCGUGCUUAACACAUGCAAGUCGAGCGAGGCCCCUCCUUCGGGAGGGUGCCCUAGCGGCGAACGGGUGAGUAACACGUGGGCAACCUGCCCCUAGCACUGGGAUAACCCCGGGAAACCGGGGCUAAUACCGGAUACGACCUCCGUAGGCAUCUUUGGAGGUGGAAAAGGUUACUGGCUAGGGAUGGGCCCGCGGCCUAUCAGCUUGUUGGUGGGGUAACGGCCUACCAAGGCAACGACGGGUAGCUGGUCUGAGAGGAUGUCCAGCCACACUGGGACUGAGACACGGCCCAGACUCCUACGGGAGGCAGCAGUUAGGAAUCUUGCGCAAUGGCCGAAAGGCUGACGCAGCGACGCCGCGUGUGGGAGGAAGCUCUUCGGGGUGUAAACCACUGUUGCCCGGGACGAACAUCGGUUUUCGAGCCGACUGACGGUACCGGGUGAGGAAGCACCGGCUAACUCUGUGCCAGCAGCCGCGGUAAUCA
rnacentral:rRNA from 1 species